UUUGGAGAAAAUGAUUAUGAGUUGCAGAUCUUACAAUAGCAUCAGUCUCGGUAUGUGAUAGAAAUAACUCCUCCUUUUCUGCAUCCUCAUCUGUCCUGCAAAUAUGGAUAUGAUUUGACAAUAAGAAGAAUCAUUCGAGCCCAACAAAAUCGAAAAAUUGCCCAGCAGAAUGUCUGUGAACAAGGUAAAAGGGCAGCCAGGUGCAUGAAGCAUCCUCGUUCAUGAAGGGUCCGAGUAAGGGCCAUACCCAAGGGGAUGUGAUGGUGGCAUCUUACAUUGAAUCAAGCAUCAGUCGCUGAUUCUACAGAUCGAACAUGUGACCUCGACAAACUUUACAUUGCUCCAAGGCUCGAAAAGGUCAUUAGGAAAGCCAGCCAUGAAGAGAAGUGUAAUUCCUAAGGCCUUAAAGAAGAAGCUUCCGCUGCGAAUAUGGAUCAGCAUAGCCAUCCGACAUAUCACCGGACCAAAAGAUUUCAGUUUGUUUCUUCCCAUUCGCUGCCGGACAUAUCUGUUCUUGCUCAACAGUGCAACAUGUAGCAGAACCAUUCACCAUGCUGUUUCUCAACAUUCUUGUUUGUGAUAUUUCACCACAAAUCCACAAAUAGAAACUAGUUUUAUUAUUUUUAUGUUGGCAAGAGGCAGAGCUAAGGGUCAGGGCGUCGUUGAAAAAUUAUAAUGUAUAUACAAGAUCAAAAUUACCAUUUGUGUUUGUAUAUAUACAUCACAUGUUGAAUCCC